CCUACGGGUGGCAGCAGUGGGGAAUAUUGGACAAUGGGGGGAACCCUGAUCCAGCCAUGCCGCGUGUGUGAAGAAGGCCCUCGGGUUGUAAAGCACUUUCAGUGAGGAAGAACGCCUGGUGGUUCAUACCCAUCAGGAAAGACAUCACUCACAGAAGAAGCACCGGCUAACUCCGUGCCAGCAGCCGCGGUAAUACGGAGGGUGCGAGCGUUAAUCGGAAUUACUGGGCGUAAAGCGCGCGUAGGUGGCUUGAUAAGCCGGUUGUGAAAGCCCCGGGCUCAACCUGGGAACGGCAUCCGGAACUUUCAAGCUAGAGUGCAGGAGAGGAAGGUAGAAGUCCCGGUGUAGCGGUGAAAUGCGUAGAGAUCGGGAGGAAUACCAGUGGCGAAGGCGGCCUUCUGGACUGACACUGACACUGAGGUGCGAAAGCGUGGGUAGCAAACAGGAUUAGAUACCCGAGUAGUC
rnacentral:rRNA from 1 species